GACGAACGCUGGCGGCGUGCUUAACACAUGCAAGUCGAGCGGAAAGGCCCUUCGGGGUACUCGAGCGGCGAACGGGUGAGUAACACGUGAGCAACCUGCCCCAGGCUUUGGGAUAACCCCGGGAAACCGGGGCUAAUACCGAAUAUGACCUCCGAUCGCAUGGUCGGUGGUGGAAAGUUUUUCGGCUUGGGAUGGGCUCGCGGCCUAUCAGCUUGUUGGUGGGGUGAUGGCCUACCAAGGCGACGACGGGUAGCCGGCCUGAGAGGGCGACCGGCCACACUGGGACUGAGACACGGCCCAGACUCCUACGGGAGGCAGCAGUGGGGAAUAUUGCACAAUGGGCGGAAGCCUGAUGCAGCGACGCCGCGUGAGGGAUGACGGCCUUCGGGUUGUAAACCUCUUUCAGCAGGGACGAAGCGUAAGUGACGGUACCUGCAGAAGAAGCGCCGGCCAACUACGUGCCAGCAGCCGCGGUAAGACGUAGGGCGCGAGCGUUGUCCGGAUUUAUUGGGCGUAAAGAGCUCGUAGGCGGCUUGUCGCGUCGACCGUGAAAACCUGGGGCUCAACCCCAG
rnacentral:rRNA from 1 species